UAGGGAAUCUUCCACAAUGGACGAAAGUCUGAUGGAGCAACGCCGCGUGAGUGAAGAAGGGUUUUCGGCUCGUAAAGCUCUGUUGGUAGUGAAGAAAGAUAGAGGUAGUAACUGGCCCUUUAUUUGACGGUAAUUACUUAGAAAGUCACGGCUAACUACGUGCC
rnacentral:rRNA from 1 species